rnacentral:tRNA from 2 species
GGUCUAUUAGCUCAGUUGGUUAGAGCGUGGUGCUAAUAACGCCAAGGUCACAGGUUCGACCCCUGUAUGGAUCA